UUUAGGUACAGACAAUAGUGUACUGUUAAACAUUUAGCAACGGAUAGGAUUAUUAAGCGUAAUGUUAAGUGCGCCCGUCUAAAUGGAAGCCAUACCUUAAGGUGUGGCUUUUUUUAUUAGU
rnacentral:sRNA from 12 species